AGUUACCAAGGCCAGCUCACCAGAGGGAGUCCUGUGGCUCUCUGUCAUUGAACAUAAGGGCAUUCCUUUCCUCUGGACUUAAGACUUCAAGGGAAGGUCAGAAAUCCUUCUUGCAUGUGCUAUUUCUCAAGUUCCUGCAACUUUAAAUACCCCAAAUCCUGGGAUAGCAUGCUCUGAACCCAUCACUCACAGUUGAUUUCGUUAUUUGAAUGCCAUUUUCCUGAACUACCUGUCAGAGGUACCAUCUCUAGUGGUCCUACUACUUAUUAAAUAAGCCAUUGCAAAUCAUUAUUCUCCUUUUUUUCUACAAAACAGGUCUUUCCCUUUCUUUAAGAGAUGUUUUAGAGGUUAAAUGAGGUGAUAUGAGACAGUGCCUUGAUCAAUGCCCCAGAGAACAAGUUAGUUUCCUCUCUGGAUUUUGGUUAGGAGAGCUGGAGAAACAAACCGAAGUCCUCUGAUGAGACUAAACUGGGGUUUAACUCUUGUCACUGGUUAAAACUUAGUCAUUGAAUUGGAUAGCUUCCUAACACAUAAACAAGUCAAUUUUAUGGCUAAUCUAAUAGGCAAAUAGCUAAUCUUAUUUCUUUGGCAAUCUGUUAGCUUUUGUUUUCCACAAGGCAGAUUCCCCCCAUACUUCUCUUCAAAUUCUGGACACUACAUGGAAUACAUGAAGCAUCAAUCUAGGAGGCAGAAAAGAUGUUGGAAACAUUAGUUGAAAACUAACACUCACAGGGCUGCUGAUGCUCCCCAGAAGUGCCGAGGUCCUGAAAGGCCUUCAACAGGAGAGCAAGCAGAGUUCCAACCAUGCACUCUAAUCCAAGCUCAGGGAGGUUUCCACUUCAUAACGGGAGCUGCUGCCAGAAGCACUCCCCACUGGCCUGGCUCUUAUAAGGAUUUGGGCCAUGGAAACAUACAAGGGAGCAUUCCUCUGGUGAGCAAACUCCCGGAGGGUAAGGGGCACCCGGUUAUCCACACUUGGAAUAUUCUACAGUUUCUCCCUGAGACUAGUAAGAUAACUCAUACAUGUCAGUGCCUAGCUGCUGCCUUCAUGAGGAGGCUCUGUGCUAGGGUCUUAUCAGCCUCCAUCUUAGUGUCAGACACUCAGCUUCUGGGCAUGAAGGAACUUAGAAAGUUCCUUUAUAAAUAAAGCUGGCCGCUCAGAUGAGGAGUGCCCUUUUU
rnacentral:lncRNA from 1 species